CUGUUUUUUGUCUUCGUGGAUCUACAGGUGCGCCGUGGCAGCCGGCCAGCUCUACGCUGUGUGAAUGGAGAUAACAAGAUAUGAAGAUACGACAGAGUGUUCAGCCGCAGGACUCUGGCAGGGGCUUGGUCACAGCUGGAAAACAUUGUGUUCACAGUCACAUUGUCGACUGCUCAGGCAUAUUCGCCGUCCGUGUGGACCAGCAGUCAGAGGGAUUUCAACGUCCCACAGGUGGAUUUUGAACUGGCAACCGCCUGGAUGGCAACCCAAACCUCUGCCAUUAGAACAAGGCCUGUUGGGAUGCAGGCGUUCUCAUCUCCCUAUUGGUCUGUCUGGGGCUCUCAGUCAAUUUCAAAGUUAAGUUCAUGUUGGAAAGAUAACGCAGUCAGGAGUUACGUUGUUCUGUUAUUUUAAUAUGUACAAUAAAAUAAACUAUUUACAUUAUAUAAAAGAUAUAUUUACAUGGCAGUUAUGCAUUUACAGAGGCACAGAACAGCACAAGUCUUAACGCCAAAGAAAGCUAGCCCUUUGACAAUCGUGUCACAUUGAGAUGGACAGUCUGACAUGCAGUUCAAUAGUUUAAGACCCUGACUUCGAAUGUAACUUAACAGAUAUAUGCACACACAGAACAUUCAAUUCAAGCUUCAGAAAGAAGACCGGAAGG